rnacentral:lncRNA from 1 species
GAGUGGCAUCCUCCAUUUCCUCUUCACUGAAGCUGGUGGAAGGGUGUGUUGACGGCCUUUGGGGCUCUCGGUGGGCAACGGUGGAUUUGGGUCAUCGCAGAGGGCCUGUGGGGCCAGCCUCCCUCCUCUCCAUAUCUCCCUCCCCCAGGUCCCAGCUAUGUCUGACUCAUUGGCCCCUCAUCCCACCCUUCCACACAUGACAGAGCUGACAGAUGGAUGGGGCCCCCCACUGUGGGUAACCGGAUCAACCUGUAUUUCUAGAUUCAGAGUCAACGCAGGUAUGGACACAGCCCUGGCACCGAGCUAGGUAUCUCACCUCUACUGACUCUGGUGACCCUUGUCGGACUCUGCGAAGUGCCGUGUAUUAUCUCCACUUUGCAUUCAAGGAGACUGAGGUGCAGACGGUUGAAGCUGCUGGCUCGGGACAAAGGGCAGAGCUGGUGUUUUCCCACACAGCCACCCGGGGCCCCACCCUGGCCCUCGCCCCCCUCCUCUGCCCUUACAUGAUACUCACCCUGUAGAGGCCCUGAGUGCUGGCAAGCCUGGCCUCUCCGAGCAGUGGUGAGCCCUCAGGAGGACAGCCAGGCUCCAGGCCGGGCAUGGGGGCAGAGUGGUCUCACCGGGGUGGGGGGCCCGGACCAAUCAGCCAGGAGCUGAUACUUUCCAGCUGUCCUCACGAUGCAGGGGGCAGGAUCAAAGACUGUCGCAGCCGCUGAAGAGGGGCACCUCCAUCUGUGCCCGUGUCCCUGUGAUGCCACCAGCAUCAGAGAAACCUUCCGUCAUCUUCCGGGAGCAAGAAACAGCCCUCCUGCGACACUCACUGCCUGGACACCCUUCUCCUGCUUCACAGAAACAGGACCCAGUCUUGCCUGAAGCUACCCACUGCCAGGCCACAAAAAGCCUUGAACGUGAGCACGGCCACCAGGCGCCGGAAAGCCUCGGCUGCUCCGAAUCAGAAGCCGCUCGCAGAUUUACCGUCAGGUGUUCGUUGUCAGACUUCGUUUCAGGCUAAGGAAGGUCUUGUGCCAGUGUUUGAGCCCCGGCCAGAUCUCCAGGUGCCCCGGGUGGUGUAAGACCUGCCGCUGACUUAUUCUGCAAACCCCUGAGCCUCCUGCUUCCGUUUUCUCCGCUGCAAGAGGUGGAGGCUGAUUUUGGUGAGAGGUCAUCAAAACCGGGCUGAAGAAACCUUAGGAUUCUACAGACGUAAGAGGACUUUUGCCAAGCAAACUACUUUGCCUGGAGAAAACGCAUUGAUUUUUUUUUUUAAGUCAGACAUGUUAAAGCUCUGGGUAAGAUUUUUUGCUUGAGAAAAAAAUAAAGAUGAU